AAAAAAAACGCCCGAGGGGCAAAAUGGACAUUUUACCCCUCAGCCCAUUAUAGGGGUCUUGAGCGUCCUCCUCAGAGUUCUUGCAAAAGAAAGAAGAGUGAGAGAGAAGGAUUGAGAGAAAGUUUGAGAGAGAAAACUGAUUUGCCAGAGUUUUAAUCGGGGAGUCGCUGACAGAAUCCAUUCCCUACUAAGACCUACACUCUAGAGCCCUUCUUGGAGUGAAGUAAGAACUCGUGUUGAGAUUUUCUCCUCUUUCGUCAAGAUCAGAGAGAAAACCCGCAAGGGAAAAUCCGCCGCUGAUUUUGGUGAGGAAAUCGGACGAAACGCCGGGAUCUGAGAACCUUUCCAAGAACGGUACGUGAGGCGUCGAGUCAAGAGAGGGCGCGUUGAUCGAUGUGGGUUGUCACAGAGGAGGCGUGACCCGGGGCGUCAGUCUAGUCUUACUAAAUAGAACACUUUGCCUUUCAUGUUU